rnacentral:rRNA from 1 species
UACGUAGGGCGCAAGCGUUGUCCGGAAUUAUUGGGCGUAAAGAGCUCGUAGGCGGUCUGUUACGUCUGCUGUGAAAACCCGGGGCUUAACCCUGGGCUUGCAGUGGAUACGGGCAGACUAGAGGCAGGUAGGGGAGAAUGGAAUUCCCGGUGUAGCGGUGAAAUGCGCAGAUAUCGGGAGGAACACCGGUGGCGAAGGCGGUUCUCUGGGCAAUUCCUGACGCUGAGGCGCGAAAGCGUGGGGAGCAAACGGG